rnacentral:rRNA from 1 species
GAUGAACGCUCGCGGGAGGCCUAACACAUGCAAGCCGAGCGGUAGAGUUUCUUCGGAGACUUGAGAGCGGCGCACGGGUGCGUAACACGUGUGCAACCUACCUUUAUCUGGGGAUAGGCUUUCGCAAGGAAGAAUAAUACCCCAUAAUAUAAUGUAUGGCAUCCAUUAUUAUUGAAAACUCCGGUGGGUUGAUGUGGGCACGCGCAAGUUUAGAUAGUUGGUGAGGUAACGGCGGACCAAGACCAUGCUACUUAGGGGUCAUGAGAGGGAGGUCCCCCACACUGGUACUGAGACACGGACCAGACUCGUACGGGAGGCAGCAGUGAGGAAUAUUGGACGAUGAGUGAGAGCCUAGUCCAGCCAUCCCGCGUGAAGGAUGACGGUCCUAUGGAUUGUAAGCUUCUUUUGAACAGGGAUAAACCUAGCCUCGUGAGGGUAGCUGAAGGUACUGUACGAAUAAGCACCGGCUAACUACGUG